AUUUAAUCCAGCUCAUCCAGGGAAGGCGCCCUGCCCUAGGGACUCACCCCACCCACUAGCCAGCCAACAGGGAACUUGUGGGGCUGUGUAGGUGGUGUGUUCUGGACCUCUACAGCAAGACAAGCAGAAUCCAUGUCAUUAGAGGGCUUUAGAAACUCAGCGCCAUAGGAAGUUUGCAGAUGAAGCGUUUGUCCAAUCCAGACCUUGUACUGCAUGUCGGGCGCUCCCAGCACUGCCAGGGAAUUCUGGGGAAAGCCCAGGUGACCCUUUCCUAGCUGAAGCACGCAAAGGACCCCAAGGCCCCUUACCUGCAACAGGCCAAACUGAGGAACAGAAAGCUCACCCUCCUGAGGGCCAUUCGACAACAUAGUCAGCAACCAAACUCCUGCAAGACAAAAGCAAUAUAUGAGGCCUCAGGAAAUAAACCCAAAGCAGUAUUUGCAGAACGCGGACUUCCAUGCCAGAAAGGGCUGUCGAGAAUAUGUCACAUUUCCUUUAACACACUUCUUAGGGAAGUCAACAUUUUGCCUGUCUAUUGUGACCCUUUAGCACUCGCACUUGAUACAUGCUCCUUCCUGCACGGUCCUCUCCUUUCGUGUUAAAUGCUUCCACUCUACAGUCAGUCAAGAGAAGAAAAAUGAUGGCGUGUGCAUGCCAGAGGGAGUCAGCACCCUCGCAAAUCAUCAGGAGCAUGUGAAUUUCUGCCAUCACUUGUGUGGAGUGGGGGCCACCCCUAGCUACGCAGCAGCCAGGCAAGGAUAACCGGGAGCAAGAGGUCUAGAUGACUCCUUCGACAACUUUUAGCAAGGAUUUGCUGGGUGCAUUCUGAUUUGCUUCCAGAGAGGUCUGUGUGUUUGUGUGAGGGAGAGAGAUGGAGGGAGAGGGAAGGGAAGAUGAUUUCAUGGUUUGAAAGCUGCUGGGAAAGCUGGUUCCCACUAAAUGCAGAAAAGCCAUUGGACAAAAUCCAACACCCUUUGUGAUCAAAACACUCAGGACACUAGAAACACAAGGCAGCUCCCUGAGCCUGGGAAAGGGCAUCUGUGAACAAGACAGAGCUCACAUGCAUCAUACUUCACGGGAGAGACUGGAAGCCUCGUCCCUGACGUCAGGACAAGGUGAGCAAGGGCCACUCCCAUCAAUUCUAUUUUACAUUUACGGGAGGUUUUAGCCAUGUCAGAUAGGCAAGAAAAUGAAAUAAAAGGCAUCCAGAUUGGACGGAGUGAAGUAAAACUCUCUCUAUUUGCAAAUGACAUGACCAUGUAUAUAGGAAAUCAGAGAAAACAGAAAAAGUGUUGGAACGAAUAAACGACUUCUGCAAAAUGGCAGGAUACAAGAUCAGUAAAAAAACCCAAAACCACCACCAAUCUACGGAACUACAAGUUGGUGCAGCCACCAUGGAAAACAGUAUGGAAGUUCCUCCAAAGAUUAAAAACAGAACCACCAUAUGAUCCAGUAAUUCCACUUCUGGGUAUUUACACAAUGGAAACAGAAACAUUCCUGCAGACAGACAUCUGCCCCCCAUGUUCACUGCAGCAUGAUUCACAGAAGCCCAGACACAGAAGCAACCCACGUGUCUGAGCUAUAGAUGCAGAGAACAGGUUGUCGGCUGCC
rnacentral:lncRNA from 1 species